rnacentral:rRNA from 1 species
CCUACGGGUGGCAGCAGUGAGGAAUAUUGGUCAAUGGACGAGAGUCUGAACCAGCCAAGUAGCGUGAAGGAUGACUGCCCUAUGGGUUGUAAACUUCUUUUAUAUGGGAAUAAAAUGUUCCACGUGUGGGAUUUUGUAUGUACCAUAUGAAUAAGGAUCGGCUAACUCCGUGCCAGCAGCCGCGGUAAUACGGAGGAUCCGAGCGUUAUCCGGAUUUAUUGGGUUUAAAGGGAGCGUAGGUGGAUUGUUAAGUCAGUUGUGAAAGUUUGCGGCUCAACCGUAAAAUUGCAGUUGAAACUGGCAGUCUUGAGUACAGUAGAGGUGGGCGGAAUUCGUGGUGUAGCGGUGAAAUGCUUAGAUAUCACGAAGAACUCCGAUUGCGAAGGCAGUUCACUGGACUGCAACUGACACUUAGGCUCGAAAGUGUGGGUAUCAAACAGGAUUAGAUACCCGAGUAGUC